rnacentral:rRNA from 1 species
AACGGGGGGUACUAGCGUUAUUCGCCAUGAUUGGGCGUAAAGGGCAUGCAGACGGUACCAUUAGUUUUGGGUGAAAGAGUAAACGCGCUACGUUUUAAACAUCCCUUUCACUAUGUUACUAGAGUUAAAUGGAAGAUCAGGGUACCUUCGAAGGAGAGCUGAGAUGCAUAGAUAUUGACAGGGACCAUCAAUUGGCGAAAGCGCUGAUCUAAUUUUUUUCUGACGUUAAGAUGCUAAAGCAUGGGUAUCGAUCGGG